UGUGGGAGCGGGCUUGCUCGCGAUUCAGGCGGCGCGGUGUUUCAAACAAACCGCGUCGAUCCCAUCGCGAGCAAGCCCGCUCCCACA
rnacentral:antisense_RNA from 1 species